CCUGCAUGAAGUCGGAAUUGCUAGUAAUCGCAGAUCAGCAUGCUGUGGUGAAUACGUUCCCGGGCCUUGUACACACCGCCCGUCACACCAUGGGAGUCGGUAACACCCAAAGUUGGUAGUCUAACCGCAAGGAGGACGCCGCCUAAGGUGGGAUUGAUGACUGGGGUGAAGUCGUAACAAGGUAAC
rnacentral:rRNA from 1 species